rnacentral:rRNA from 1 species
GCCGCGGUAUCCUAACCGUGCGAAGGUAGCGUAAUCACUUGUUCUUUAAAUAAGGACUAGUAUGAACGGCACCACGAGGGUUAUACUGUCUCCUUUUCCCAAUCAAUGAAACUGAUUUUCCCGUGAAGAAGCGGGGAUACUUAUAUAAGACGAGAAGACCCUAUGGAGCUUCAAACCAAAUAGCAUCGGCUAUACCUUAAUAUUUUAAUCAAUAACUUUUAUUAUCGCCCUCUGACUAUUAGUUUUAGGUUGGGGUGACCGCGGAACAAAAAUUAACCUCCAUGGUGAAAACUUUUUCCUGAGCCAAGAGCCACAGCUCUAAGCACCAAAACAUUGACACAAAUUGACCCAAUAACUUGAGCAACGAACCAAGUUACCCUAGGGAUAACAGCGCAAUCCACUUCAAGAGCUCCUAUCGACAAGUGGGUUUACGACCUCGAUGUUGGAUCAGGGUAUCCUAGUGGUGCAGCCGCUGCUAAUGGUUCGUUUGUUCAACGAUUAAAACCCUACGUGAUCUA